CUAGACUGAUCAGCUGUGCUGGCUCUCCACAGUCUCCAUCGUUGUGAGGAUCCAUCUGCUCUCCCUGGGGUCCCUGGAUCCAAUGCAGGUCAUCAGGCUUGGGGACCAGCACCUUAGCCCAGUGAGCCAUCUCAUCAGCCCUCCAGUGCAAUUUUACCAGCACCUUAACCCAGUGAGCCAUCUCAUCAGCCCUCCAGUGCAAUUUUACCUUAACCCAGUGAGCCAUCUCAUCAGCCCUCCAAUGCAAUUUUACCAGCACCUUAACCCAGUGAGCCAUCUCAUCAGCCCUCC
rnacentral:lncRNA from 1 species